ACUAAUUCCAUGGAUGGUUUAAGGAGACAUGAUACUUGAAUGCAAAAGAACUUGCCCAUUUAUUGAUCAUGUCAAUAUAUUAAGUACAAAAUUAUAUCCUAGAUUUAUUACAAUGUGUCAGCCAUAUUGACUUCUAGGACAUAUAUCUAACACCAAGAGUUCUUUUCUUGAAACAGAUAGUGGAUAAAUUGUCAGAAAUUUCUAUCAAUUAUAAAUCUACUA
rnacentral:lncRNA from 1 species